UUUGGCUGUCCUACAAAUGCGUCUUGCUUUUUUUACUUGCAAGUACUUAAAUAUGCCAAACGUUACUUUCCAGGGUACUUAAACAGAAAUGUAGUAAACUAUCCAUAUUUUCUAUCUCUUAAACGUUCAACCGUCGUCACGUAAAAUGUUCAGGAAUAAUUAUCAGGGUGGACCUGUGGUUGAGAUAUUCAGUGGACAAGGAAAAGACCCUGUAGCAAAAUGGAAACUUUGCGGAGGCCAGUCCUUCAUACAUAAGGAGUACAAUAAAGAAGUGAGAGGGUUUGUUUACUGUCUGGAGGGCAGCAGCCAGACAGUCAAGAUGCAAAUGCCAGAGAAUGGGAAAAUGUCUCUUGGACUUCUUCAAAGAUUCUUGGUCCUUCAAGUGAAUAUUGAACAGUGCAAGGAUUUUUCCAUUGAGCUUUUGAUAACUGAUUUAGAGCACCUGAAAAGAAGACUUUACUUGUCAACUGUACAUAAAGAGUUGUCCGUCACACAUUUGCAUGCAAAGAUACCUUUUGUAGGAUUGAAACGCAGUGUUUGGUCUACUUUGUGCAUCGACCUUGUAUCAUUCACCAGUGAACUGUUCAAGGGGUUUUUGACAUUGGAUGGCAUCACUUUGUUUGCAACCUGUAAAGUCCGCAGAAUCUUCACCAUGAAAGCAAUGCCUACCGAACUCUCAGGCGAUGGUAAUACGUUAAACCAAACAGAUAUGUUUCUCAGUGGAGCUGCUCACAUGGACUCGAUUCCUCGCAGCUGCCAGUUCCCUCCUGAUGUAAACCACAUCACCCAACUGUUGAACAUGGAACAUUUACGGGAGGCAGAUAUGAGGGCUGGACUGUUGAGCUCUGACUGUGUUCCUGGUCAGUCUACCUCAGCCAGAUCUACCGGUUAUCGAAGAUCCAGGCCUCAGGGUGUUUUACACACAGCCUCAGGCUCCAGGGUUUCAGGGCCACCCCCUCAAACUGGAAGAAAAAGCAGGGCAGCCUCAGAAGAAAUGGAUAAAAGUCUACUCUUUGUAUCAAAUGCGGCGUCCCCGUCUAGUAAAAAGAACCAAGAAGUUGCUGCAGAAAGAACGCUUGGCAGUUUACAGCCCCAUCCCCCGAAAGACAGAGUGUUUGACAAGCAGGGAUCUAAGCAGCUUCGGGUGUACAGUGCUGGAAGAGAGAGGCUAGCUUCGUCAGAUGCUCUACCUUGUGGCGACCGAAAGAGAAGUAAAACCAGGGAGAAAUGCAAUUCUACACCCAGUGGGCAAGAGAGCGAGCAACAACCAAUGACCCUAACAGAAACGACAGCGCACCUAUCAGCAGACGAGUGUAGCCUCAAGGAAAGUUCAGGAGCUGCCCCCACACCGGCAGAGUCUCUCCGCGGCUUUAUCGGUCCAGGUUUGUCUUGUGACCUGCAGGUCGGUAGCAGCUGGGAGAGUAAUGACGGGUCCGAGCCCCAGCUCACUCUGCAAGAAGAGGUGUUCACUUUCUCAUCCCAGCCACACUCACCCAAACGAGGGCAAAGCCAGGGUGAGCAGGAGAAGAUGGAGAUGGGAGAUGAUCCGGUUCAGAGCAAAAGUGGAAGGCGGUAUGAAGCCCAGCCUGAGGAUGACUUUAUCGGCAGUGAGAGUGAUGAGGAAAACAGCUUCAAGCUCAACCCUGCUACUCCCAGAUCUCCUAGUCCAACUUUGGAUGUGCAACUUGAAGUCCAUCCUGAAAAUCAAAACCUGGUCCAAACGGCACCAACAGAGCUCAGUUUGGCUUCCACCGGCAUGCAGUCUCCAUCCAGUGGGGGAGCGGAGGCAGCUGAGAUCGCCCCCUCACGCUGCCUCUCACCCAGUGUGACACCGAGAAGACAGGAACACAAGUGUGGCCCUCGUGGAUCGGAGAUACUGAACCAGUUUGUGGAUGUAAACAGCAGUGUUACACUUUCAAGAAGACUCCUACAUGAAGUCAGACUAGAUGACUCCACACAGCACAAGGUGAUCGGUUUAAAGGAAGAAGAAGCCAACACGACACACCCUAAUGACUCCGGUGUUUACAACUUACACCCUCUUAGCAGUCUACGAAGACAUGGGGAUGAUGACGACGAGCUUCGAAUGCUGGCAAGUCUAAAGAGAGAGCAGGAGGAAGAUGAAUGUAAAGCCUCGGGCCUCAGCGCAUCUCAGAUCCGUCAUUGUAAUGUCAGCAUUAGCAUGAGCAGUGACGACGCGUCUACCUGGACCCACAUCUCCAAGAUAGAGUACAGAAAUGGUUCAGCUACUGCUUUCCCAAAAGAUUCUUCCCAUCACCUGACAGCCGGUUAAUCAGGGCCACCACUAUCAGAAGGAAAUGAACCCUCUUCUUCAAUCAAACCCUAGGACAGGAUGAGUCGCUGAAUGAACAGGAAAAGGAGGACGAGUAUUUAAAUCUGCUUUAUGA